rnacentral:lncRNA from 1 species
CCUCAACGUUCCAAUAUUUUUGGAGGGGAAUGUAUUUCUACAUUAAUUUUCUAUCCAUCAUUUUUACAGCAUAAAAAGAAGAUUAAACCAGACGAUUCUCCUCAGAGCUCUGCUGUGGAUGUGUCCACUCCUGCUGGACUUGCCAAGAUGCUCCUUCAACCCCACGAUAAACUGAGCUACAAGCUCCUCCGUGAGGCUAUGUCACAUACUCAGACAGCACACCAAACAAGACAGAUGAAAGAAGCUUCACUUGAAAAUAAAGUUCAAUUUAAUGUUCAGAAGGAGAGAGUUAAUCACCUUCAAUGGCAGGUGAAUCUAGGUGAACUCUUGUCCUCAACAGAGCAGAAAAUGAAGAUUUUGCAGGAACAAGAGUUUGCAGCUGCUGAGUAUAAAGCAGGAAGAGACUCAGGGGGCAGGGAGGCAGAUUUUAACAGUGUCUUGCCAAAACUGUCACUGCACCGUGUUCAGCGAAAUGCAGAGCAGACGCCUCACCACCUUCCUGCAUUCAGUGUGAAUGUCAGCAGUCAGCUGGAGGUCAGGCAGCGGCUGCUUAGACUCUUUCAACAAGCUGCUUAUAAGGUCAUUCUGCAGUGUCGUAUGAAAAAUAGACUGCUGGUGCUUCAAAAACUGGCCUCCAAUAUAAGGAAGAAAGUAGAAGGACAUAAAGGAACAGGUAGGACAAAUCCUAAAAUGAGCUUUAAACAGUAGUAUUUUGGUUUUGUUUGAAAGUUUACAUGCACUCUUCAUGAGAAGAAUAAAUGUGCAGUAUACAAUCUUUAAUACA